CCAUUAGGUCGAGAUACAGAACCUGGGACAUCAUAUUAGAGGACCUAUCAUCCAGCCUUAAGAUCGUUUGCACUAACUCUGCACUUAUUUUCAGCGCAGGCGUACAGAUUUGUUAGAGAGACCUUUGAAAAUUGUUUACCAGACGAAAGAACAAUAAGGAGAUGGUGCUCCAGACUGGAUGGUACUCCUGGAUUUACAGAUCAGGUUUUUGAGUUCCUGAAGAAAGAAGUUCAAGAAGGAAGAAAUGUUAUUGGAAGUAUAACCUUAGAUGAAAUGUCUAUUAAGAAACAUCUAUUCUUUGACGGAAAAAAGUACCAAGGUGUGGUAGAUCUAGGAGAUGAACGGGAGGUUGGAGAUGAUGAAAAACUUGCAAGUGAUGCCCUGGUGUUUAUGCUGGUAGCUGUGAACAGUUUUUGGAAGGUUCCACUUGGCUACUUUUUUAUAAAUGGAUUAGACAG